rnacentral:sRNA from 1 species
GUAUAAAGAUCAAAGGCUAAAUUCGCGACUUCCUGUCGCAACGCCUUUGUGACCUACGUCCUGUAGG